ACGGAAGGCAGCAGUGGGGAAUAUUGCACAAUGGGGGGAACCCUGAUGCAGCGACGCCGCGUGGAGGAAGAAGGUAUUCGUAUUGUAAACUCCUGUCGCAGAGGACGAUAAUGACGGUACUCUGUAAGAAAGCACCGGCUAACUACGUGCCAGCAGCCGCGGUAAAACGUAGGGUGCAAGCGUUGUCCGGAAUUUCUGGGUGUAAAGGGAGCGCAGGCGGUCUUGCAAGUUGGAUGUUAAAUCUACGGGCUCAACCCGUACACGCAUUCAAAACUGUGAGACUUGAGUGAAGUAGAGGUAGGCGGAAUUUCCGGUGUAGCGGUGGAAUGCGUAGAUAUCGGAAGGAACACCAGUGGCGAAGGCGGCCUACUGGGCUUUAACUGACGCUGAGGCUCGAAAGCAUGGGUAGCAAACAGGAUUAGAUACCCUGGUA
rnacentral:rRNA from 1 species